UCUAACCGUGGAAAUAAUCUACCAUCAUGGACCUGAAACAGAUAAUCAGAACAAAAAUUUAGUAAAGAGUAAAUAUUAUCAAAGAAAAAAAAAAUAACAGGAUGUUUUCUGGUUCCUACUGCUUCAGUGCUGCUGUCCAAACACAGAUAGCUCUGUUCUUGGAGGAGCUCUGGGCUCCAGCAAGAGAUACUCGCUACUUAUGCUAGACAUCUGCUGUCCUCAAAGAACUGCUUAAAUCCUGGGUGUGGAAAUCAGAGAAAUGUCCAGCUCCUGCUUCACCAUGGCCAAGUGUAAGAACUCGGUGAGCUCAUUGUGGAACUCCACACAGCUCUUUUUAGAGGGGUCAAGUUCAGAGCAAGAAAUCCUGCUACACUUAUACAAGUAAUGGAUCAAAGUCAGACUAAUAGACCAAGGUCAGAAGUGAUUUCCUGAACCUCUGUCCUCACUCAUCCCUCUUCCUAAAUGCAGAGUCAAAUGCCACUGCUUUGCAGAGGAACUAGAGGAAAGCUUUUAGUUUUCAUUGUCUCUGUGAGCCUGAACAUUACUCCCUGCAACACGCUAAUCUCCAGUAUUGGAAAAGAACAGGAAACUGUGAGUUUAACAAAACCCAUCAACCUGAAACUACUUUGCAUCAAAAAAAUCUGAAUUUGGGACCUGUCCUUGAUUUUACAGUGUCCAUGAAGUUUUUUAGUUCAAUUAUCUUAGUCCUUUUGAAUGCUCUACUCCCCCUCACUCUGUGAAUCUGUGCAGAUCCCAGAAACUGAUGGUGGUUUGGUUGAUCCCAAACCACUAACGUGUUAGGACGAUUUUGCUAAAUGUACAGGGAAAUUGGUGAAAACAAUAAGCACAGAGUACUGACAGAUGAACUAAACAACCAACAUGACAUAGAAAACAAGCAGUUGUCCUUUGUGAAUUUUUUUUAUUAUUUUUUAACAGGCUUGGCUGGCAGAAGCAGUGGCCAUGAACCAUUCAGAUGAGGAUUUGAGUUCUAAGAAGAUAGAGCAUCUCUAACUUUCAUCACUGUACUGAGGAUUUUUCCUUAUGCAUAGAAAAGGCAACGUCAUUUAUCCUUGACUGAGAAUCACCGGUACAUUUCAACAAUGGAAUUAGCUAUUCACUGCAUUACAAUGACUUGCUUUCUGUAAUUUGCCAUUAAUAUGCUUCUACCUGAACAGUGCAAAAUGUGAAUUAAAUUGCCACAGGGAAAAAUAAUGAACCUGUUCUUUGAUUUAAUCUAAAAGCGGACAGUUAUAGUCUCUUUCCUCAUAAUAAUGUUCUUCCCUCUCUUCUCAAAAAUUUUACUUUAACUUGUCUAGGUUUUCUUUUCAAUUCAGGAUAAAGUGCAGCAUGUAAUGUGGCCUUC
rnacentral:lncRNA from 1 species